rfam:Salmo salar isolate Sally breed double haploid chromosome ssa13, whole genome shotgun sequence.
UGCACGCAAGUCUGUAAGUCGCUUUGGAUAAAAGUGUUUGCUAAAUGGCAUAUA